rnacentral:rRNA from 1 species
UACGUAGGGGGCUAGCGUUAAUCGGAAUUACUGGGCGUAAAGCGCACGCAGGUGGUUUGUUAAGUCAGCUGUGAAAUCCCCGGGCUCAACCUGGGAACUGCAGCUGAAACUGGCGAGCUAGAGUCUGAGAGAGGGGGGUAGAAUUCCUGGUGUAGCGGUGAAAUGCGUAGAGAUCUGGAGGAAUACUGGUGGCGAAGGCGGCCCCCUGGCCGAAGACUGACGCUCAGGUGCGAAAGCGUGGGGAGCAAACAGG